CAUGCAAGUCGAACGCGACUGGGGCUUCGGCCUCAGUUGAGUGGCGAACGGGUGAGUAACACGUGGGUGACCUACCUUGCGAGUGGGGGAUAACGUCCCGAAAGGGACGCUAAUACCGCAUAACAUCCUGCCUUUGAAGAGGCGGAGAUCAAAGCUGGGGAUCGCAAGACCUGGCGCUUGAUGAGGGGCCCGCGUCCGAUUAGCUAGUUGGUGGGGUAAUGGCCUACCAAGGCAACGAUCGGUAGCCGGCCUGAGAGGGCGGACGGCCACACUGGGACUGAGACACGGCCCAGACUCCUACGGGAGGCAGCAGUGGGGAAUUGUUCGCAAUGGACGAAAGUCUGACGACGCAACGCCGCGUGGAGGAUGAAGGUCUUCGGAUUGUAAACUCCUGUUUGCCCGGGACGAAAUGCUUCGACCUAAUACGUCGAAGUUUGACGGUACCGGGUGAGGAAGCCCCGGCUAACUCUGUGCCAGCAGCCGCGGUAAUACAGAGGGGGCAAGCGUUGUUCG
rnacentral:rRNA from 1 species